rnacentral:rRNA from 1 species
GACGAACGCUGGCGGCGUGCUUAACACAUGCAAGUCGAACGAUGAAGCCGGAGCUUGCUCCGGUGGAUUAGUGGCGAACGGGUGAGUAACACGUGAGCAAUCUGCCCUUGACUCUGGGAUAACUGCGGGAAACUGUAGCUAAUACCGGAUACGACACCUUGGGGCAUCCCAGGGGGUGGAAAGAAUUUCGGUCAAGGAUGAGCUCGCGGCCUAUCAGCUAGUAGGUGAGGUAAUGGCUCACCAAGGCGACGACGGGUAGCCGGCCUGAGAGGGUGACCGGCCACACUGGAACUGAGACACGGUCCAGACUCCUACGGGAGGCAGCAGUGGGGAAUAUUGCACAAUGGGCGAAAGCCUGAUGCAGCAACGCCGCGUGAGUGAUGAAGGCCUUCGGGUUGUAAACCUCUUUUAGCAGGGAAGAAGCGAAAGUGACGGUACCUGCAGAAAAAGCACCGGCUAACUACGUGCCAGCAGCCGCCGUAA